rnacentral:rRNA from 1 species
UACGGAGGAUGCAAGCGUUAUCCGGAAUGAUUGGGCGUAAAGCGUCCGCAGGUGGCUAUGUAAGUCUGCUGUUAAAGAGUGAGGCUCAACCUCAUAAGAGCAGUGGAAACUACAUGGCUAGAGUGCGUUCGGGGCAGAGGGAAUUCCUGGUGUAGCGGUGAAAUGCGAAGAGAUCAGGAAGAACACCGGUGGCGAAAGCGCUCUGCUAGGCCGCAACUGACACUGAGGGACGAAAGCUAGGGGAGCGAAUGGG